UACGGAGGGUGCAAGCGUUAUCCGGAUUCACUGGGUUUAAAGGGUGCGUAGGGGGAGUGGUAAGUCAGUGGUGAAAUCUCCAAGCUUAACUUGGAAACUGCCGUUGAUACUAUCAUUCUUGAAUAUCGUGGAGGUAAGCGGAAUAUGUCAUGUAGCGGUGAAAUGCUUAGAUAUGACAUAGAACACCGAUUGCGAAGGCAGCUUGCUACACGAUCAUUGACACUGAGGCACGAAAGCGUGGGGAUCAAACAGG
rnacentral:rRNA from 1 species